rnacentral:lncRNA from 1 species
UAAACCUGGCCAAAUGUACCACUGCCUAGCAAUUUCCCUUUUUUCCAUUGUGAUUGGGACUGUGAGCAAGUAGUGGGAGAUGCAGGAAGAGGUGGGCAGGAACUCGGAGAUGAUGGAAGAGGCGAGCAAGAACUGUGGUUUGGAGGAAGAGGUGAGCAAGCAGCAGCAGCUGGGUGAAGAGGUGAGCAAGCGCCAGAAGCUGGAUGGAGAGGUGAGCAAGCAGCGGAAGCGGGAGGAAGAGGCGAGCAAGCAGCAGAACCUGGAGGAAGAGGUAAGGGAUGAGGUGGGCUCCUCAAACCAUCCAUCAUUCUCACUGGCGAUCUCGGGCUAAACCCAAAUUCUCUAGAAUUUCCAUUGCUCAUGGCGAAUGCAUGGCCUUUUGGUACAGGGGAUAGGCUCCUCGUUCUUGGAGCAAAGAGAUCUUCAGAUACCAUUCUUCCACGUGAACAACUGGUUUCACUCGUUGAAGGUUCGUCGCUAUGCAAAUGAUGUUCUCUGACACUAGACACAGG